GAUGAACGCUGGCGGCGUGCCUAAUACAUGCAAGUCGAGCGAACAGACGAGGAGCUUGCUCCUCUGACGUUAGCGGCGGACGGGUGAGUAACACGUGGAUAACCUACCUAUAAGACUGGGAUAACUUCGGGAAACCGGAGCUAAUACCGGAUAAUAUAUUUAACCGCAUGGUUCAAUAGUGAAAGACGGUUUUGCUGUCACUUAUCGAUGGAUCCGCGCCGCAUUAGCUAGUUGGUAAGGUAACGGCUUACCAAGGCAACGAUGCGUAGCCGACCUGAGAGGGUGAUCGGCCACACUGGAACUGAGACAAGGUCCAGACUCCUACGGGAGGCAGCAGUAGGGAAUCUUCCGCAAUGGGCGAAAGCUUGACGGAGCAACGCCGCGUGAGUGAUGAAGGUCUUCGGAUCGUAAAACUCUGUUAUUAGGGAAGAACAAAUGUGUAAGUAACUAUGCACGUCUUGACGGUACCUAAUCAGAAAGCCACGGCUAACUACGUG
rnacentral:rRNA from 1 species